rnacentral:snRNA from 1 species
UCAUGUGAGGGCCAUCUGGCUGCAACAUCUGUCACCCCAUUGAUGGCCAGGGUUGAGUUGGCUGAUUUGGCUGGCCAGGCGGUGUCCCCUCCCUCACCACUCCAUGUGCGCCCCUCCUGGUUGAAGAGGAAGACCUUCCCCGCUAGAGGAGGACCAGUUUUCGGUCAAGGGUAUAUGAGUAGCUGCGCUCCCCUGCUAGAACCUCCAAACAAGCUUUUGAGAAAUGUAGCUUUCUAUCUAAUGUAUUCAGAAUUCUUAUAAAAUUUGUGCAUAAAACCGUAAUUUUGUAU